UGGCAAGAGAGGGUCACCCCCAUAAGUGGAAUUACAAACCACCGCCUAAAUUUUCAGCCAUCUUACC
rnacentral:tRNA from 1 species